UAUUGGCCAAUGGACGCGAGUCUGAACCAGCCAAGUAGCGUGAAGGAUGACUGCCCUAUGGGUUGUAAACUUCUUGUAUAUGGGAAUAAAGUUUUCCACGUGUGGAAUUUUGUAUGUACCAUAUGAAUAAGGAUCGGCUAACUCCGUGCCAGCAGCCGCGGUAAUACGGAGGAUCCGAGCGUUAUCCGGAUUUAUUGGGUUUAAAGGGUGCGUAGGUGGACAGGUAAGUCAGUUGUUAAAGUUUGCGGCUCAACCGUAAAAUUGUAGUUGAAACUGGCAGUCUUGAGUACAGUAGAGGUGGGCGGAAUUCGUGGUGUAGCGGUGAAAUGCUUAGAGAUCACGAAGAACUCCGAUUGCGAAGGCAGCUCACUGGACUGUUGACUGACACUGAGGCUCGAAAGUGUGGGUAUCAAACAG
rnacentral:rRNA from 1 species